AUGCGAUAAGUAGUGUGAAUUGCAGAAUUCAGUGAAUCAUCGAAUCUUUGAACGCACAUUGCGCCCUUUGGUAUUCCUUAGGGCAUGCCUGUUCGAGCGUCAUUUAAACCUUCAAGCCCUGCUUGGUGUUGGGUGCCUGUCCCGCCUCCGCGCGUGGACUCACCUCAAAUCCAUUGGCGGCCCCCGCAUGGCCACGAGCGCAGCAGAAACGCAAACUCGUGUGCUGGACGGGCGGCUCCCAGAAGCUACACCCACCAUUUUGACCUCGGAUCAGGUAGGGAUACCCGCUGAACUUAA
rnacentral:misc_RNA from 1 species